AAAGUUUCAAUGAAUCCCAAAUUUUUCUCUCUUGCCAUUGUAAUGGAUUUGAAUACAAGAUUUCGACGAUUACCUAUUCUUGCAAUCCUCAAAACCAUUUUCACCAAAUCUUUCGAUUCAAUAUCAUUCGAUUUUCGACGCAUACGCGAUGGCUACUUAGAAUGAAGAAGGUAUUUCUUGGUUGCAUUCUUUAUUGUUGGCGACUUUUUGCUCACUAAAUUUCUGCUCUUCGACGAAUUAAGCGAUGGAUAUUAGGGACGAAGGAUGUAAAUUUCUGGAGAAGUAUUCGAGUUUUGAAGAAGAAAGAUCCGAGGUUCAAUGGUAGAAGAACAACAAGUUAUUUUUCGAUUAUCCAUUUAUCUUGUUUUUUCUUCCAUUUGUUUCGAAAAUUAAUCUGUAAUUUUUGGUUCGACAGGUAGUGAUGGAGAUAUAGGAUUAGUUUCCUGGUUGAGAAUAUCCGAAUUGGAAGUUGUGAUUUGUUGUUUUUUCACCGUUAAUGAUUCAUGUGAGCGUUCGGAGACUCUGCUGACGGAAAUACUGUCAGUUUGAUGCAUUUUCUCACCAUUUUUCAGACGACGAUAUGAAUGCUUGACUUCGAAAUACAGAUUUCGUAAGGUACUUCGAUUCUUCGAUUCUGGGAGGGAUCAAAAAACAAGCAUUGAAUUGCCAUCCUGACUUAUGAUGUUUCUGUUCUCGGAAAUUGCAGAUUAUGAUGAUUCUAUUAGCUAAUUUAUCUGAUUUCUGGAAGCAGAAACAAAAUCUAGAUUAUAUGCGGAAGAACACAGUGCAGUAAACAGAGUGCCACAAAAUCUAGAUUUAUCAACUUAUGCUUACAGCUAGCUAGGUAACGAAUGAUGGAUUUUCCUCAAAUAUGUACAUUUCUCUUGCUCUUUUCUAAUUGAUUUGAACAAUGAUAUGUUUAUAUGUUUAUGCUCUCAGUAAUUUACUCAAAAAUGCAUUCCCAAAUCCAGUUUGUGGUUUUCCCCCAAUUUUAUAUACAAACUCUCCUGCUCUUUUUUAAGAUUGAUUUUGAAACAACAGGUUCAUUGACCAAAUCCCAGAUGCCUAACCGCAGUUGGGACGUGGAGCNNN
rnacentral:lncRNA from 1 species